CAGCGGGCUUCUCCUCUUCUAUGUCCCUCUGCAGUUCUUUCUCUGCAGAGAAAAAGUCAUCAUAGCAUUGAGAAUCACCCAAAAUUAAACAGAAGAAUCACCGUAACAAACAGCACCUGAAGUCAUUCCAGAUGUUCAUUUGACUAAAAAUUAAAUUCCACUCUAAGAAACACCUGCUCAAACAUGCUAGGCAAGUGCCUCACCUGGGAAAAGUCUUCAAAACUAUACUUUAAAAAAGUUUGUUCAGGAUUGGGAUUCCUACUUGUUUCACAUAAUGGAAACCUGACAUACGCAAACCAAGAAAAUAAUGAGGAAGAAGGCUAAGACUCAACUUUCAAAGUGGUUUUGUUAGGAAACAUAGUGCUUUACUCUUGGCUUAUUAUAGAUAGAUGAGCUAGGCAGAAAUAUUAUAGGCAGUCAGAUAGGGCUGAGUCCUCGGGAGGGCCAGGACAAGGUGAAACACAGCACAGCUGCACAUCGGCUGAAAACCAGGCCUCAAGAUGGAGACAAGACGACCAGACCCACAUACUUCUUCAAAGAACUGGGCUCAGCAAAGUACAGAUAGGCAUCGACCACCCUGGGGGUGGCCAGAGACCUCUGGACCCGCUGGCCCCUAGGAGAAUCCUUGUUCUUUCAUCCUUGCUGGC